GCCUAAUACCUGGGCCAGGUCGAGCGAACUGAUUAGAAGCUUGCUUCUAUGACGUUAGCGGCGGACGGGUGAGUAACACGUGGGCAACCUGCCUGUAAGACUGGGAUAACUUCGGGAAACCGAAGCUAAUACCGGAUAGGAUCUUCUCCUUCAUGGGAGAUGAUUGAAAGAUGGUUUCGGCUAUCACUUACAGAUGGGCCCGCGGUGCAUUAGCUAGUUGGUGAGGUAACGGCUCACCAAGGCAACGAUGCAUAGCCGACCUGAGAGGGUGAUCGGCCACACUGGGACUGAGACACGGCCCAGACUCCUACGGGAGGCAGCAGUAGGGAAUCUUCCGCAAUGGACGAAAGUCUGACGGAGCAACGCCGCGUGAGUGAUGAAGGCUUUCGGGUCGUAAAACUCUGUUGUUAGGGAAGAACAAGUACGAGAGUAACUGCUCGUACCUUGACGGUACCUAACCAGAAAGCCACGGCUAACUACGUGCCAGCAGCCGCGGUAAUACGUAGGUGGCAAGCGUUAUCCGGAAUUAUUGGGCGUAAAGCGCGCGCAGGCGGUUUCUUAAGUCUGAUGUGAAAGCCCACGGCUCAACCGUGGAGGGUCAUUGGAAACUGGGGAACUUGAGUGCAGAAGAGAAAAGCGGAAUUCCACGUGUAGCGGUGAAAUGCGUAGAGAUGUGGAGGAACACCAGUGGCGAAGGCGGCUUUUUGGUCUGUAACUGACGCUGAGGCGCGAAAGCGUGGGGAGCAAACAGGAUUAGAUACUUUGGGGUAGUCU
rnacentral:rRNA from 2 species